CCCGUCACAUCACGAAAGUGGGUUGUACUAGAAGUCUGCAGGCUGACCCGCAAGGGAGGCAGCGGCCCAAGGUAUGACUCAUGAUUGGGGUGAAGUCGUAACAAGGUACCC
rnacentral:rRNA from 1 species